rnacentral:rRNA from 1 species
GGUUCGGCCCUCGGCUGACUGCUCAGUAACACGUGGAUAAUUUGCCCUAAGGUGGAGGAUAACCUCGGGAAACUGAGAAUAAUACUCCAUAGGUCUAAGAUACUGGAAUGUUCUUAGGCUGAAAACUCCGGUGCCUUAGGAUAAGUCUGCGGACUAUCAGGUUGUAGUCAGGGUAAAGACCUGACUAGCCUAUGACGGAUAUGAGUUGUGGGAGCAAUAACCCAGAGAUGAUAUCUGAGACACGAUAUCAGGCCCUACGGGGCGCAGCAGGCGCGAAAACUUCACACUGCGCGAAAGCGCGAUGAGGGAAUCCCAAGUGUAUGCACGUAAGUGUAUACUGUUUCUUUGUUUAAAAAGCAUAGAGAGUAAGGGCUGGGUAAGACGGGUGCCAGCCGCCGCGGUAAUACCUGCAGCUCAAGUGGUGAUCGUUAUUAUUGGGCCUAAAACGUCCGUAGCCGGUUUAGUAAAUGCCUGGGUAAAUCGUGCCGCUCAACGGUACGACUUCCGGGUAGACUGCUAAACUUGGGACCGGGAGAGGCUAGAGGUACUCCUGGGGUAGAGGUGAAAUUCUGUAAUCCUAGGGGGACCACCAGUGGCGAAGGCGUCUAGCUAGAACGGGUCUGACGGUGAGGGACGAAGCCCUGAGGCGCGAACCGGAUUAGAUACCCGGGUAGUCCAGGGUGUAAACGCUGCUUGCUUGAUGUUAGUCGGGCUCCCAGCC